UACGGAGGGAGCUAGCGUUGUUCGGAAUUACUGGGCGUAAAGCGCACGUAGGCGGACUAUUAAGUCAGGUGUGAAAGCCCCGGGCUCAACCUGGGAAUUGCAUUUGAGACUGAAUAGCUAAGGUGCGGAAGAGGGAAGCGGAAUUUCCGGUGUAGCGGUGAAAUGCGUAGAUAUCGGAAGGAACACCAGUGGCGAAAGCGGCUUCCUGGUCCAGCACCGACGUUCAGGCACGAAAGCGUGGGGAGCAAACAGG
rnacentral:rRNA from 1 species